CCCAGGUGAUGCUGGUAGAGCACACGCCCAGAACCACCGCCAGGUACACAAGUCACUGGACAAGGUGGGAAGGCAUCUUACUCAAUCAAUGGACCUUAUUCUAAAGCGGGAAGGGCACUGAGAGUAUAGGGAGGGUAUCUCUCAAAUGAGGAGUCUACGACCUGCUUCAGGGGAAGGCCAACAACUUCUUGGAUUUUAUGACCUGCUUCAGGGGAGAAGGACAAGGGAAGUACAGCGCCUACAACAAUGCAAAGGCUAGAAGGAAUGAAGGCAGGGACAUGGAAUGGAGAAUUUCCAUUUCACGGAUCCACAUAAACUGAAAAGGAACAAGAGUCGGUGAGACCAAAGAGCACUGAAGGCCAUGAACCACCACCAUUCUCAACCCCUGGGCCAGGCAAGAAAAGCCACGGUUCCUGGAAGGGAUGACGACAGGCUUACUGAAUUAUUUUCAUCCAUGCCCUUUUAAAAUAUGGUUGGUAGAAAUUUGCCAUUUGAGACUAGAAUCCCAUUCGGAAUCAUGUAAGUCUCUUUUGACUCCACGAGGACAUCUUUCACCCAGUUUUGGGAAAUCUGAGGAAUGGAUUCUUCUACAGACUGAUAAAAUAUCACAAGGUCCAAGAGUUUGUGUGAGAAAGAGGACAUCAAGGUAAAAUUUUUUAAGUGGAUAAAGAUGGAGAAGUAGAAGGAUGUUAUUCAAAAGUGUAGUUUAUGAUUAAGGUUGGUCGUGACAUCAGAAGCCUUUAAUAUCAGGCCCACCCAUCCGGAUUCAUUAAGCAGAUUGUGUCUUAUCUUGCAUUUCUGUUUCCUGAGACUUAAUCAUGGUUUCCUCAGUGAGUAUCAUCCGCUGCCUAAACUUCAUAAGAGGAUGUUUUCUUUUUUGGAAGCUACUACUCAUGGGCUGAAACUGACUUUCAAACCUACAACUUUAAACUAUGUAAUACUUGAUAUGAGCAACUCAUCCCACUCCUUUCAGAUUAUUCCCUAGGAUCAUUUAUUAUGUGCCUACUGCAUGCAAGGCACAGUGGGAAUACAGAUACAAAGAUAAAUAAGAUUGUCUCUGCCCUGAAGAAAACUAUAAUUUCUGUGUGUAGAAAGACACACAACUGACUUUUCUAUCACAGACCAUCCAAGUUCUGACAUAGAGUCACUAGAGGUUUCUGAACAUGAUGGAUGUGAACGUGGUAGACAUACAAUGGAAGGCAAGAAGGUAUCUCAACACAGCAGAACAAGACCCCAUGAGGAGCCCAGAAAAAAAAUAAAGAAGGUUCCUCACUGGUUAGGAAUUCAAAAGCAGUCCUGGCAACCUCAUAGCAUCUUUACCUCAGAAGCAGGCAGCUCUGGUUACUCCACCAUUUUCAGGAACAAGGUUUUUCUCUCCCCCUCUGCUGCAUUUCCUCUGCGGCUCCUGAUCCAUCUGCCUCUACCUUCUUCCUAGCAUCAAAUUUCCUCCCAGGAGACAACAUGAAUGGGUUAAGAAGUACCCAAUGAGGGCUGCUCCAACUGGACAGCAUCUUUGAAACUGGGACCUCACAGAUGGUCAUCACAGGCCCCUGAUGCCUGGGUACCCAGCGACCAACCCCAGUCUAGUCUGUCUAUAGCAACAUAGGUGAAGGGGAGUCUCAGGGGCUGCCUAAAGGGCUCAGAAUGUGGUGAGUACUUAAGACUGCAUGGAUUUUCACUGUUUACAUGAAUAUAGGACAAGUAUUCACAGAACUAUUAGCUAGAUCUGUGAACAAAACAUUAAUAACAUUGUAUGUCCAUGUCUGAACCCCUGAAAUUCCAACAACCACCACCCGCCUACCAACUUGCAGCAAACCGGCUCUCUCCACAGUCUUCCCCAGAUCAGGGAGAAACAAUUCCAUCCUUCCAGUACUCAGACUGUAAAACUGGAUUCAUUCUGAUUCCUCUCUCACACAUCCCACACCUGAUCUGACAGGAAAUCCUAUAAACUCUGCCAUUAAAAUAUAUCCAGAAACAGGCCAGGCACAAUGGCUCAUGCCUCUAAUCCCAGCACUUUGGGAGGUCGAGGCGGGCGGAUCAUGAGGUCAGGAGUUCGAGACCAGCUUGGCCUACAUGGCAAAACCCUGUCUCUACUAAAAAUACAAAAAUUAGCUAGGUGUGGUGAUGCACACCUGUAAUCCCAGCUACUUGGGAGGCUGAGCUAGGAGAAUCACUUGAACCCGGGAGGCACAGGCUGCAGUAAGCCAAGAUCGUGCCACUGCACUCCAGCCUGGGCGACAGAGUAAGACUCUGUCUCAAAAAAAAAAAAUAUAUAUAUAUAUAUAUAUAUGUCCAGUAAUGUGCAACUUUCACAGUCUCCACCAGGAUCAUCACAGUCUAACCACUGCUUCCUCCAGCCUGAACUUACUGCAAGAGGCCACUCACUGGUCUCCAGGCAUCCACUCUUGCUUCCCCCACGCACCCCACCACCAGUGUCUAUUCUCAACAGAGCAGCCAAAAUUGUCCUUUUAAACAUUGGUUGGAUUGUGUCUUCUGUCUGUUCAAAACUCUCCAGUAUGUCCACAUGGAUCUCAAAAUAAAACCAAAGUUCUGGCCAGGCACAGUGGUUCGUGUCUGUAAUCCCAGCACUUUGGGAGGCUGAGAAGGGAGGGUGGCUGGAGCCCAGGAAUUCAAGACCAGCCUGGGCAACAUGGCAAAACCCCAUCUCUCCAAAAAAUACAGAAAUUUGCUAGGCGAGGUGAUGUGUGUUUGUAGUCCCACCUACUCAGGAGGCUGAGGUGGAAGGAUCACUUGAACCCAGGAGGUUGAGGCUGCAAUGAGCUGUGAUCACGUCACUGCACUCCAGCCUGGGUGACAGAAUGAGACUCUGCCAAAAAAAAAAAUUCAAAGUUCUUACCACAGCCUACAAGACCUGCCAUGACCUGGUCCUUCCUACCACCUGUCUCAUCUUUGCACUCUCACUCACUCUGUACCAACCACACUGGCCUCCUGGAUGUUUCUGGAACAUACCAAACAUGCUCUAAUCACCAGUCUUUGCACUGGAUUUUUCUUCAUUCUGGGAUGUUCUUCCCUUGGAACUCCACAGGGCUAACCCCCACAGUUCCUGCACAUCUAUCAAUGAUGUUUAACAAACCACCCCACUUCGCCUCUGCAGUAUUCCCAAUCGCCACACCUGCCCUGUGUGGUAUUUUAUCACAUACCAUGUAAUUAACUUAUUUGCUAUCUUUAGGAAAAGGGUUUUUUUUUAAAUUUUUUGUUUGCAUGUUUUGUUUUCUUUUUGCUUUUGGUAUCUCUUCCCCUGGUAGAAUGAAAGCUCCGUGAGAAAACCUAGACGAAUCUCUGAAACUUAAUGCUCAAUAAAUGUUUGUUGGUGAAUGCCUGAUUUACAGGACAGCUGAAGCAGUUUAUUAAUUUAGAAGAGCUUAUUAAUUUAGAAGUUAUCAACUAUUGUAAAACUUCCACUGCAGUUUGAAGUUUGAUGUGAUGGGUUGAAAAAAACCACAAUUAGCAAAGUGCACUCUCCUUUUUUUCUAUUUAUCUUCUAAUCACCAGUCUGCUCUGAUGCUGAUUGACACACAGAUACUGAUGUGUUGUUUCCCAUAAAUUCACAAGCCAGUGAGUCAGUCCUUCAGGUAAUAAACAGAUGGCUGUCGGCCAGGUGAGAUGAAAAGGCAUGGUUGCCAUCCUCGAGGAAUUUACGUGUAGCAUGCGUGAUUUAUUGCACUAAGGUAUAAAUAUAAGGUAUAAGAAAUAUCUUACUGGUUUGUUGUGGUGGUUUCUUGUGAUUUUUUCUGUCUCUAAAUAAAAUUAAAUCUGCUCCAUUCCCUCUGAACCAAGCUUAGGCUGAGAUUCUCUGCUGUGGGUCCC
rnacentral:lncRNA from 10 species